rnacentral:rRNA from 1 species
GUGGGGAAUUUUGGACAAUGGGCGCAAGCCUGAUCCAGCAAUGCCGCGUGCAGGAAGAAGGCCUUCGGGUUGUAAACUGCUUUUGUACGGAACGAAACGGUCCGGGUUAAUACCCUGGGCUAAUGACGGUACCGUAAGAAUAAGCACCGGCUAACUACGUGCCAGCAGCCGCGGUAAUACGUAGGGUGCAAGCGUUAAUCGGAAUUACUGGGCGUAAAGCGUGCGCAGGCGGUUUUGUAAGACAGGCGUGAAAUCCCCGGGCUCAACCUGGGAAUUGCGCUUGUGACUGCAAGGGUGGAGUGCGGCAGAGGGGGAUGGAAUUCCGCGUGUAGCAGUGAAAUGCGUAGAUAUGCGGAGGAACACCGAUGGCGAAGGCAAUCCCCUGGGCCUGCACUGACGCUCAUGCACGAAAGCGUUGGGAGCAAACAGGAUUAGAUACCCCUGUAGUCC